CUGUUUAGCAACAGGAAAUAUGAUUUGAUGGAAAGGUCAUGCAGACCAGACUGUUUUCUAUUCAUUUACAGGGUAAAUUAUGUUAAACAGCAGCCUUGGAAGGCUGCAAAUUGCUGUUGCUGGACACAUUCAUGAAAACACAAAUUGAUAAGUUCAUUAAGAGCAUUUAGGACUCUGGGCAGAAGACCAUAGUAAGAUGUUGAAUUCAAUAAAUCAUCCUCAAUCAUUCAGGCAGAGCCAUUUUAUUAGGGGUCUGAAAGAAGCCAUAUCUUAAUUGACCUAAGGAGCACAUGCACAUACACUCAAACAAGUUUCUGUGGAUUUUAAAAGCAGGCACUUUACUAACUCAAGGAUUGAUUUUAAUACACCAGGUUUUUUAUUAUUAUUAUUUUAAUACACGCUGCUGUAAAAUGCCCCAAAAUAUUCAAUAAAUUCUGACGUAAAUGUGC